CUUGCAUACUCACAGAAACCGUGGGUUCCUCUAAGGAGUUUUUGCCACUGUGGAAUAUCUUUUAAACUCCCAAGUCAAAAAAUAAGGUUAUGUUUCCUAUGAUGAUGUCAUGGUAUCAAAUGUGAAGAUGCUGAUUGAUUGUGUAAAACUACAGAGUACCCACCCAAGGAAGACAGCAAACUUCAGUCAGUAUCCUUAUUGUUGGACACUCCAGGAUUUCUUCCCACAGAUUCCCAAGGCACCCAGGUUUCCACCUAUGUUUUUUUUUUUUUU